CGUAUUAUUCCUGCGCCAGCCCCAUCAAACCCGGUUUUUAUGAUGCGUGGCGGCGUGUGUACCCCACACCUGAACAACCAGCCGUUAAGU
rfam:Erwinia sp. Leaf53 contig_3, whole genome shotgun sequence.